rnacentral:lncRNA from 1 species
UUAUGACUUAAAUGCAAUUUUAAUUUUUACAAUUUUGAAAAAAUCCUGCUUAAUUCAGAUAAAAUAUUACAAAAUGCGAGUUUUAAUUAUUGUGUUUACAACCCUGUCGCAUCAUUCGCAAUAAUUAAAACCUUGCAAUAAUUUCUGAAAUUACAGUAUAUGUGGCCUCCUAGGCAACAAUUUUUCACAGUGUAAGAUAUUAUAGUUAUAAACAACCAAAGGGCAUUAUGGUCCUUGUUGAUGUUAUGUCCGUGUAAAUAAUCUGUAAAUUGUAUACAAAUUAAGUAUUGUAAAUUUAUUGUUAAGCAAUAAUAAUUUUUAGAUAAAAUCUAUAUAUAGGCUUAAUCAUGUCAAUGUUUAUAGAAAAAAAAUGAAUAAAGAAAAAUUGACAUUUUUA